rnacentral:rRNA from 1 species
CACGCCGUAAACGAUGGAUACUAGGUGUGGGGGGUCUGACCCCCUCCGUGCCGCAGUUAACACAAUAAGUAUCCCACCUGGGGAGUACGAUCGCAAGGUUGAAACUCAAAGGAAUUGACG